rnacentral:rRNA from 1 species
GACGAACGCUGGCGGCGUGCUUAACACAUGCAAGUCGAACGGAAAGGCCCUGCUUUUGUGGGGUGCUCGAGUGGCGAACGGGUGAGUAAAACGUGAGUAAACUGCCCUUGACUUUGGGAUAACUUCAGGAAAAUGGGGCUAAUAUCGGAUAGGAGCUCCUGCUGCAUGGUGGGGGUUGGAAAGUUUCGGCGGUUGGGGAUGGACUAGCGGCUUAUCAGCUUGUUGGUGGGGUAGUGGAGUACCAAGGCUUUGAAGGGUAGCCGGCCUGAGAGGGUGACCGGCCACAUUGGGACUGAGAUACGGCCCAGACUCCUACGGGAGGCAACAGUGGGGAAUAUUGCACAAUGGGCGGAAGCCUGAUGCAGCAACGCCGCGUGCGGGAUGACGGCCUUCGGGUUGUAAACCACUUUCGCCUGUGACGAAGCGUGAGUGACGGUAAUGGGUAAAGAAGCACCGGCUAACUACGUG